rnacentral:rRNA from 1 species
UGCGUAGGCGGGUUUCUAAGUCAGAGGUGAAAGCCUGGAGCUCAACUCCAGGACUGCCUUUGAUACUGGAAGUCUUGAGUUCGGGAGAGGUGAGUGGAACUGCGAGUGUAGAGGUGAAAUUCGUAGAUAUUCGCAAGAACACCAGUGGCGAAGGCGGCUCACUGGCCCGAUACUGACGCUGAGGCACGAAAGCGUGGGGAGCAAACA